UUUCCGGCAUAUCUUUUAUAAUAGUAUAUAUUCUCUGAUUUUAGCGCAAAACUGAACGUAAGACGUAAACAAAGGCAUUGACUGCCAAAUACCUAAAUGUUUCUUCAAUAUUGGCAUGCCCGCAGAAUAUCAAUCGGGAUGCUGAUAUAAAAGUGUCUUCCUCGCAUUACAAGAUGACAAUAAGUACGUGUGUAUGCGAAUUGUUUGGCUUAACUAAAGUCCUUUGGAUUGUGAUAUAGUUGAUUGGUAGCCGCUCCGCCCGACACGACGGCCUCACUUAUUCUUCGGCAAGUGGCGCUUCAUGUGGAGUGCCAGGUGAUCGCUUCUCGCAAAGCUUCGCUCGCAGACGAUGCACUUAAAGGGCUUGGCGCCGGUGUGUUUGCGGUAAUGUCGCGUCAGUUCAUCGGAGCGAGCGAAGCGCCAUUCGCAUUCCGGCCACUGGCAGGUGUAGGGCUUUUCACCUGGAAUCAGAAAUAAGAGCAAAAACAAAGGCAUGCCAUGAGUUGGAUUUGACAAAUGAAAAGUUAUUGAAAAAUUUGUUAAGACAAAUUCAUAUUUAUUAUUUGGCUGAAGUGCAUGUCAUCAAAGAGCUUCUUGUCUUCCAAGAGAACAACAACACGACGACGACAGCAAAACGGCAGCUGGAGCAAAUGUUAACUGCUCUACGCAAGGUCCUCGGGUUGACAUUGGAACUAUGUCGAACGUAUCUCAGUGAUAAAAGAGAGGGGUAGAGGGAAAGAGAGGGAGACUCUUACAUAAAUAUGGCACUGGCUAAUUGGAAUUACAAAAGAGGCAUUUGAAAAAGCGCCACAACAACUGUCAAUAGGCACAGCGGGCGACAGACGGAAAGAUAAUAAAUAAAUAAAUGUUUAGAUAAAUGGAGAAUAAAUAAAUGGCGAUUGGAAGUACGCCUCACGCAUGCGCAAUGAGCCCGUGGCCAAGAUCCCAGUCAAAUAGCUGAAUAUGUAACAGGAAGCAACUUAAUUGAGAGUCUAUCGGAAGCCCCAUUUAUCUAUUGCAUUGCACUAGCAGGACGAUAUUGAAUAUCCUUUGCAGCGCAAAGACAAACAGAAGGAAGCAUAUUAAAACAUAAUUUAAUGGCAAAGGCUAUGGAAAUUUUCUCACAAUUUCACGCUGAGCAAUCAUAACGCAACGACACACACACACACACACGUGCGCACACACACUCACUUUUUAGGGUGUCCACUGAAGCUAUUAAAUGCCAAUUCCCAAUUUCUACGUGCGGGGGUGACAAUGUGCCGCAGCGCGAGGGGCGCUGUGACAGGAAAUGUGAGCAGCCCAGGGAAUUGAGGGCAUUCUGGAAGCUAGGCAUAAAACCAAUUUCCGAUCAAGCGAAAGGGCAGCGAUGCAGUGAGGCCGAACGGGCAAAGGGAGGGGAGGAGCAAGUAGUAAAGGGCUACGCAUGCGCAACACGUUGCUGUUGCAGUUGCAAGCUUGCAAAUGCAGCGCUGAUCAAUAAAAUUUGAAGUGAAAACUGUUGAAUAAUGCGGCAACAAACGGCGGUCACCCUGCUCAGCGCGUGAGGGGGAAGGAGGGGGGACUGAGCUGAGGCACAGGAUUUGCGGGCAAUUAAUUUGUGUGUAGUACAAGCAACAGGAAACAAAAUACCAAGCCACGCAUGCAGCCCCGAAAAGUGGAGAGGGGCGCUCUUAAAGUUCAACGGCCAAACACAUUGAGCCCAAGUCAAGUCAGCCGAACCGACGCUCAGCCGGCCGCAAGUCAUUCACGCUCGG